ACGCCGGCGGCAGGCCUAACACAUGCAAGUCGAGCGGUAGAGAGAAGCUUGCUUCUCUUGAGAGCGGCGGACGGGUGAGUAAUGCCUAGGAAUCUGCCUGGUAGUGGGGGAUAACGUUCGGAAACGGACGCUAAUACCGCAUACGUCCUACGGGAGAAAGCAGGGGACCUUCGGGCCUUGCGCUAUCGGAUGAGCCUAGGUCGGAUUAGCUAGUUGGUGAGGUAAUGGCUCACCAAGGCGACGAUCCGUAACUGGUCUGAGAGGAUGAUCAGUCACACUGGAACUGAGACACGGUCCAGACUCCUACGGGAGGCAGCAGUGGGGAAUAUUGGACAAUGGGCGAAAGCCUGAUCCAGCCAUGCCGCGUGUGUGAAGAAGGUCUUCGGAUUGUAAAGCACUUUAAGUUGGGAGGAAGGGUUGUAGAUUAAUACUCUGCAAUUUUGACGUUACCGACAGAAUAAGCACCGGCUAACUCUGUGCCAGCAGCCGCGGUAAUACAGAGGGUGCAAGCGUUAAUCGGAAUUACUGGGCGUAAAGCGCGCGUAGGUGGUUUGUUAAGUUGGAUGUGAAAUCCCCGGGCUCAACCUGGGAACUGCAUUCAAAACUGACUGACUAGAGUAUGGUAGAGGGUGGUGGAAUUUCCUGUGUAGCGGUGAAAUGCGUAGAUAUAGGAAGGAACACCAGUGGCGAAGGCGACCACCUGGACUAAUACUGACACUGAGGUGCGAAAGCGUGGGGAGCAAAC
rnacentral:rRNA from 1 species